rnacentral:misc_RNA from 1 species
GGGGGGGGUGUUGGUGGAUGGUGGGGUGUGUGGAGGAAAGGGAGAGAGUUCAUUGUCAAUAGAAUCCGAAAAAACAUCGCUAUUUGUCUCAGUUGUUUUUGUAACAUUGUUUCAAGCCACUAACCAACCAUGCCUCCAACUCUAUCCUUCAUUUUACUUCUCUUCACUUUCCUCUGGCAAAUUAAGGUGUGAUUCUUUGUGGCAUCGUUGAGUUUUUCCAACAAUCAGGAGGCAAAAAUAACCAGCUUCCAAAGACACAUCAACAAUAUAUGGCAUCAACCAGGACAUUAGCUUAGGGCCUUACAUGUUCUCUGAUGAACUGUUCCACCUGAGAUAUC